rnacentral:rRNA from 1 species
AGUGAACGCUGGCGGUAGGCCUAACACAUGCAAGUCGAACGGCAGCACAGUAAGAGCUUGCUCUUACGGGUGGCGAGUGGCGGACGGGUGAGGAAUACAUCGGAAUCUACUUUUUCGUGGGGGAUAACGUAGGGAAACUUACGCUAAUACCGCAUACGACCUACGGGUGAAAGCAGGGGAUCUUCGGACCUUGCGCGAUUGAAUGAGCCGAUGUCGGAUUAGUUAGUUGGCGGGGUAAAGGCCCACCAAGGCGACGAUCCGUAGCUGGUCUGAGAGGAUGAUCAGCCACACUGGAACUGAGACACGGUCCAGACUCCUACGGGAGGCAGCAGUGGGGAAUAUUGGACAAUGGGCGCAAGCCUGAUCCAACCAUACCGCGUGGGUGAAAAAGGCCUUCGGGUUGUAAAGCCCUUUUGUUGGGAAAGAAAAGCAGCAGGUUAAUACCCCGCUGUUCUGACGGUACCCAAAGAAUAAGCACCGGCUAACUUCGUG